rnacentral:lncRNA from 1 species
AAAUUUGGGAGGGAAUUUCCACUCUACCUCCAAUUUUCCCGUAGAACCCCCUAUAGCCAGCAAAAAGGGUCUGUCCUCUGAGAAGGAAAUGGAAAAGACAGCUCCCUGAUAGCAUAUUAGAAAACAAAUCUUAAAACCCACACACAUGUUUACAUACUCACACACACAUGGCGCACAAAGAGGAAAAAAACACGCCAAAACCUAUUUGGAUUGGACUUGAAGAAUAACAAUGAUGACAUUGUCCAAGUAACUCAAGAAGACUCCCUGACCCAAAAAAUGUUCACAAGAAUAAAUACAAAAUUGAGGGUUCCUUACAGCUUUAGGAUUCCUGGUUGCAACACAGGAAGGUUGGUUAUUUGACAAAUCCCAAAGUUUUACCUGAGGCAAAAUGGAAAAAAGCUCAAUCAAGAGUAUAGAACCAUUUGUGUAAUAUCCAUGCAGGGUAACAAGGUAGAGGCCAACACAAAGAUCAUAGAAGAUUACCAUUUUAUCUGUGGAUCCGGUUGCAAGAAACUGUAGAGAAAAUCAGAAAAGAAAAAUUACAUAAACCAAAUAUAGGAAGCAAGCAUGCAAAUAUUUUUUCUAGGAGUGCCAAGAUGAAUAUAUACAUUAGGUGCCAAGGGAUUGUAGGAGAUUGUGCAAACAGCUUGGUCAUGUGCAUGGAGAGUGAAAGCUGGCUUUGACUCAGAAGCCGAAUCUGACUUAGCAGUACGAACAUCAAAACCUUGA